ACCUGAAAGUCACCUAUAGUCCAGAAACUCCACGGGCAGCCAGACGGUGGAGCCUGCUUUGCCCCAUGGGCCCUUGAGCAAUAGAGCCCUCCUGAGGUUUAGUGCUGGCCAAGAGAACGUUUCUACUGAAGACCAUCUAGGUUUGUGCUCUCCAGUACCAUAGCUGCUACCCACACUGAGCCCUUGGCAACAUGACUGAUGUGACAAAGGAGCUGACUCUGCACUUCUAUGGAGCCUUAACUAAUUUAGUUCCAGGGAUCUGUCACCUCGUCAGGCCUCCGUGGACACUGCAUGCAUAUGGUGUAAAACACUAUACACCAGAGAGCCGGGACUAAAGGUGUGUGCCACCAAACUGGUUAAGACGAGUACUUUAUAAAUGCCUACACAUCCGUAGGCACAGCUGAUCAGGAAGCUGAUUCUAAGGCAGCAACACGAAGCUAGAGCUGUACAGCCUUUCUGUCCUGUAGUCACCUGUCCGGUGGGGACUCACUGGCUCUCACGAGAUGCAUUAUUUAGAGCUAAGCCAAUCCCUGGAAGAGGCGACAUUCCUUCAUCGAGUACUUUCAGUGUGUGCCACGCUAGGGGCUGACAAUACAUCAGAAAGCAAGACGGCCUUAGCCCACACCUGGAGGAGCUGGGCUGGAAACAGAAGCAAAUGCACGAAUGAGCAAUGGGAGCCAGGAGUGGUGAUGUACACCCCUCUCUCUCACCCGGAGCCUCCAGAGGCUGACGCACAAACAUCACCAGUCUAAGACCAGCCUGGGCCACACAGUGAAAGGUCUUACCUCAAAGAAAAAAAAAAAGUUUUGUUUAUUUA